CAAUAGCGUAUAUUAAAGUUGUUGUAGUUAAAAAGCUCGUAGUUGGAUUUCUGGUAGGAGUGACCGUGCCAGACUUGAUUGUCUGUGUAUUGUGUUGUCUCCAGCCAUCCUUGUGGAGAACUUUUCUUGCAUUAAUUUGUAGGGAUUGGGACCCGCAUCGUUUACUGUGAAAAAAUUAGAGUGUUUAAAGCAGGCAAUCGCUUGAAUACAUUAGCAUGGAAUAAUAAGAUAGGACUUUGGUACUAUUUUGUUGGUUUGUAUACCAAAUUAAUGAUCAACAGGAACAGUUUGAGGAUAUUCGUAUGAACAUGUCAGAGGUGAAAUUCUUGGAUUUUGAUCAGACGAACUACUGCGAAAGCAUUUAUCAAGGAUGUUUUCAUUAA
rnacentral:rRNA from 1 species